GACGAACGCUGGCGGCGUGCUUAACACAUGCAAGUCGAACGGAAAGGCCCUGCUUUUGUGGGGUGCUCGAGUGGCGAACGGGGGAGUAACACGUGAGUAACCUGCCCUUGACUUUGGGAUAACUUCAGGAAACUGGGGCUAAUACCGGAUAGGAGCUCCUGCUGCAUGGUGGGGGUUGGAAAGUUUCGGCGGUUGGGGAUGGACUCGCGGCUUAUCAGCUUGUUGGUGGGGUAGUGGCUUACCAAGGCUUUGACGGGUAGCCGGCCUGAGAGGGUGAACGGCCACAUUGGGCCUGAGAUACGGCCCAGACUCCUACGGGAGGCAGAAGUGGGGAAUAUUGCACAAUGGGCGGAAGUCUGAUGCAGCAACGCCGCGUGCGGGAUGACGGCCUUCGGGUUGUAAACCGCUUUCGCCUGUGACGAAGCGUGUGUGACGGUAAUGGGUAAAGAAGCACCGGCUAACUACGUG
rnacentral:rRNA from 1 species